rnacentral:sRNA from 1 species
GGGCUGGUCUUAUGACCCAGGUCCAUCACCGGCGGGGAAGUUCCCC